UACGUAGGGGGCAAGCGUUGUCCGGAUUUAUUGGGCGUAAAGAGCUCGUAGGUGGUUUGGUAAGUCGGAUGUGAAAUCCCCGGGCUCAACCUGGGAAUGGCGAUGAAGACUGCAAGGCUAGAAUCUGGCAGAGGGGGGUAGAAUUCCACGUGUAGCAGUGAAAUGCGUAGAGAUGUGGAGGAACACCGAUGGCGAAGGCAGCCCCCUGGGUCAAGAUUGACGCUCAUGCACGAAAGCGUGGGGAGCAAACAGG
rnacentral:rRNA from 1 species